CCUACGGGGUGCAGCAGUGAGGAAUAUUGGUCAAUGGGUGCAAGCCUGAACCAGCCAUCCCGCGUGAAAGACGACUGCCCUAUGGGUUGUAAACUUCUUUUGUAUAGGGAUAAACCUACCCUCGUGAGGGUAGCUGAAGGUACUAUACGAAUAAGCACCGGCUAACUCCGUGCCAGCAGCCGCGGUAAUACGGAAGGUGCAAGCGUUAUCCGGAUUUAUUGGGUUUAAAGGGUCCGUAGGCGGACUUAUAAGUCAGUGGUGAAAGCCUGUCGCUUAACGAUAGAACUGCCAUUGAUACUGUAAGUCUUGAGUAUAUUUGAGGUAGCUGGAAUAAGUAGUGUAGCGGUGAAAUGCAUAGAUAUUACUUAGAACACCAAUUGCGAAGGCAGGUUACCAAGAUAUAACUGACGCUGAGGGACGAAAGCGUGGGGAGCGAACAGGAUUAGAUACCCGCGUAGUC
rnacentral:rRNA from 1 species